UGAUAGUUCAGGAUGCUUCAGAGAGGGCGGCACUUAUACCUCGUGGUCUUUCUGAUGGCCAGUUUUAUUCCCCUCCUGAAUCUGAAGCAGGAUCUGAGGAAGAAGCUGAAGAGAAACAGGACGGUGAAAAACCACUUUUAGAGCUUUGAGCGCCACUUCUGUUAAAUGUGAAGAGCCUCCCUGAGAGUCAUCCCAGGGGAAGACGCCUGGCCAUGGGGACGCCC